rnacentral:misc_RNA from 1 species
ACCAGUUCUAAGUAGCUUUAUAGUUACAAUUAGUAAAGUUUUGGUAAGCAAUUUUUUCCGGGUAUUCCAACUCCCAAGAUUUAAUAUAAUUUUUUACAACGAAGAAAAUUCACAAGUCUUCAUUACGUGUAGAUAACGGAAGAGAUAAAAUUGAUUCUGCCCCAAACCACCCUCCUCCAACCCAAGAGAGAGCGGUUGUGCUCCCAUGUUCACUGUAAA